AGUGAACGCUGGCGGUAGGCCUAACACAUGCAAGUCGAACGGCAGCACAGUAAGAGCUUGCUCUUACGGGUGGCGAGUGGCGGACGGGUGAGGAAUACAUCGGAAUCUACUUUUUCGUGGGGGAUAACGUAGGGAAACUUACGCUAAUACCGCAUACGACCUACGGGUGAAAGCAGGGGAUCUUCGGACCUUGCGCGAUUGAAUGAGCCGAUGUCGGAUUAGCUAGUUGGCGGGGUAAAGGCCCACCAAGGCGACGAUCCGUAGCUGGUCUGAGAGGAUGAUCAGCCACACUGGAACUGAGACAGGGUCCAGCUUCCUACGGGAGGCAGCAGUGGGGAAUAUGGACCAAGGGGCGAAAGCCUGUUCCAGCCAUACCGCGUGGGUGAAGAAGGCCUUCGGUUUGUAAAGCCCUUUGUUGGGAAAGAAAAGCAGCAGGUUAAUACCCCGCUGUUCUGACGGUACCCAAAGAAUAAGCACCGGCUAACUUCGUG
rnacentral:rRNA from 1 species